rnacentral:ncRNA from 13 species
GACAUCGUAGCGAAGUGGUCUAACGCGUUUGACUUGAAAUCAAAUCUCCUAGGAGGCGCAGGUUCGAACCCUGCCGAUGUCG